CUCGUUUUCUUCCAGAAAGACCCGCAUGAAGUCAAACUAAUUGGACGGUAGUGCUGCGCCAACAGCGGAUCUUUCCCCGUUUUAAGUAUGGGAACGACUAUGGCCCGUUUCCACUCAUCAGGGUUUGCUACAAUGACGAAGCAUCUGAUUGUGGAUACUAUCGUGACCGGGAGCGCAGGAUUUCGUGUUUUUAAGUGCAGAUUCUAAUUCAUCCAUACUAAAAGCUUUAGUCUCAAGGAAAAACGCUGGAUAGUUUAACGAACUACUGACCUGAUAGAAAUGGUCUGCCAAGAGGUUCGAAAUUUCUUGUAAAUCUUUCGUAACCACCCCAUCGUUUUUCCGAAGGAAUGCCGGGUAGUUUAGUUUAGAUUUGCCAGAUAUCGCACCCAUCUUUUUCCAUAUUUCACUCAUAGUCACGUCCGUCGUUAUGGUGGAUACAUAGUGUUGCCACGACCUUCUUUGUGCCUGGAGAUUUAUGCCGAAUAUUAAUCGCAAGCACGAAUUUUGAAUUUUUUGUAUUCUACGAGCAUCCAGACUAUCGAGGCAAGGACCAUA